rnacentral:lncRNA from 1 species
UUUCAUGUCUUCUCAUUUCAUCAGAUACAUUCUGGUGUGCCUCUGUUGAGGCAACUCUGCUUGCCCAGUGGGCUUCACUUCUCACCAAGCCUCAGAGAUGCCUUUUCUCUGCUGUUCACCACUGCACCGAUUCCUGGGUUCAGAAUGGCAGCCAUCUGGAUCCCUGCGCAGUGCUAUUGUCCACAUGGAGUUCCUGCUGGGGUCUUGGGGACAAGUCUAUGCUCUGGAAACGUGAAACAGAACUCUGGACUUCGUGUGAUACAGGGGAGCUCUGCAGUGCUUACUAGCCUCAGAUGCAGAACAUCUGCCUGUGGGCUGGAGACCAGAAUAAUACAGUCAAGGGCUUGGAGUCGACGGCAACGUCCCUUACAAGUCUGUAUCCAGAGGCCAAAAGAUCUGCGAUGGGAGACCAAAGGAUGAGAGAUCUGCACUGGAAGCCAGGAGAUGAUGUCCAAGAUAAAAGCAAGAAUUGAAGAUCCCCCAAGAAAGAAAACAGCCGAUCUCCCUUGAAGAUAAACCUCCACAAAAUAAAGCAAUUUCCCCAGGAAGAUCACCAUGAAAUCCUCCCCUCCCGUUCUCCUUUCAGGCUGUUUGACAACAAACCUCAGGCGUUUUCCACUUCCGGAACCAAGCUGACACAAUUCAGCUGUGCACUCUCAUUCAAGUUGACCAUUAAUUCAUCCAUCACUCACUACAUUCAGAAUAAUCUUUAAUGCUGACAUUUUUAUAAUGCUGCUGUUUUUCUUGCCUUACUCUAUACAAAUCCAGUAGAUAUAUUUUAAUAAGAAAUUCUUAUAAAUCUGAAAAAUAUAUUACUCUUCCAGGAA